UGGUAAGAAGUGAAAUUUAUCACGUUUGGUUUCGGCCCAAAUUGUGUCGUGUAUCGACCUUGCUAU
rnacentral:tRNA from 1 species